ACUCCUACGGGAGGCAGCAGUGGGGAAUAUUGGACAAUGGGCGCAAGCCUGAUCCAGCCAUGCCGCGUGUGUGAAGAAGGCCUUCGGGUUGUAAAGCACUUUCAGUGGGGAAGAAAGCCUGGGACCUAAUACGUCCGAGGAAGGACAUCACCCACAGAAGAAGCACCGGCUAACUCCGUGCCAGCAGCCGCGGUAAUACGGAGGGUGCGAGCGUUAAUCGGAAUUACUGGGCGUAAAGCGCGCGUAGGCGGUCUGAUAAGCCGGUUGUGAAAGCCCCGGGCUCAACCUGGGAACGGCAUCCGGAACUGUCAGGCUAGAGUGCAGGAGAGGAAGGUAGAAUUCCCGGUGUAGCGGUGAAAUGCGUAGAGAUCGGGAGGAAUACCAGUGGCGAAGGCGGCCUUCUGGACUGACACUGACGCUGAGGUGCGAAAGCGUGGGUAGCAAACAGGAUUAGAAACCCCAGUAGUCC
rnacentral:rRNA from 1 species